rnacentral:rRNA from 1 species
ACCGGCGCGACGGGUGAAGUAACGCGUAUGCAGCCUACCUAUCAGAGGGGAAUAACCGGCGAAAGUCGGACUAAUACCGCAUAAAACAGGGGCACCGCAUGGUGAUAUUUGUUAAAGAAAUUCGCUGAUAGAUGGGCAUGCGUUCCAUUAGGUAGUUGGUGAGGUAACGGCUCACCAAGCCGACGAUGGAUAGGGGAACUGAGAGGUUGGUCCCCCACACUGGUACUGAGACACGGACCAGACUCCUACGGGAGGCAGCAGUGAGGAAUAUUGGUCAAUGGGCGGGAGCCUGAACCAGCCAAGUCGCGUGAAGGAAGAAGGAUCUAUGGUUCGUAAACUUCUUUUGCAGGGGAAUAAAGUGCAGGACGUGUCCUGUUUUGUAUGUACCCUGAGAAUAAGGAUCGGCUAACUCCGUGCCAGCCGCCGC